rnacentral:rRNA from 1 species
UACGGAGGGUGCGAGCGUUACCCGGAUUUACUGGGUGUAAAGGGCGUGUAGGCGGUCUUUCAAGUCCGAUGUUAAAGCCCGGGGCUCAACCCCGGGGGUGCGUUGGAUACUGUAAGGGUAGAGGGGCGGAGGGGGUAGUGGAAUUUUCGGAGUAGCGGUGAAAUGCGCAGAUACCGGAAGGAACGCCGAUAGCGAAGGCCGCUACCUGGACGAUUGGUGACUCUGAGGCGCGAAAGCGUGGGGAGCAAACAGG